rnacentral:rRNA from 1 species
UACGGAGGGUGCAAGCGUUAUCCGGAUUCACUGGGUUUAAAGGGUGUGUAGGCGGGGAUUUAAGUCAGUGGUGAAAUCUCCGGGCUCAACCCGGAAACUGCCAUUGAUACUAUUUAUCUUGAAUACUGUUGAGGUAGGCGGAAUAUAUCAUGUAGCGGUGAAAUGCAUAGAUAUGAUAUAGAACACCGAUUGCGAAGGCAGCUUACUAAACAGUUAUUGACGCUGAGGCACGAAAGCGUGGGGAUCAAACAGG